GGCACGGGGGGCCUACGGGAGGCAGCAGUGGGGAAUAUUGCACAAUGGGCGCAAGCCUGAUGCAGCCAUGCCGCGUGUAUGAAGAAGGCCUUCGGGUUGUAAAGUACUUUCAGCGGGGAGGAAGGGAGUAAAGUUAAUACCUUUGCUCAUUGACGUUACCCGCAGAAGAAGC
rnacentral:rRNA from 1 species